rnacentral:lncRNA from 1 species
AGGGAUAUGAGAAGUAUUGCUGUGCAUCAUGUAUCAGAUUCCUUCAGGAGAUGCUGGACUUGACUCCUGGCCUCAAGUGAUGCUGCUUCAACUUCUUGAGUAACUGGAGCUACAGACAUGUGCCACCGUGCUUGGUAAAAGGUACUAAAAUUUAUUUAGCCUAUACUUUAUGCCUAGAAUAUUUAAUUUUUAAAGAUUUAGCUGUUGAGUAAAAUAUAGAUAAUGAUUAAUAGUGUAUGCUUCACUUAGAGAAA